rnacentral:rRNA from 1 species
AUUGAACGCUAGCGGGAUGCCUUACACAUGCAAGUCGAACGGAGUGGCGAACGGGUGAGUAAUGUAUCGGAACGUGCCCAGUAACGGGGGAUAACUACGCGAAAGCGUAGCUAAUACCGCAUACUAUUGGAGCGGCCGAUUUCGGAUUAGCUAGUUGGUGGGGUAACGGCUCACCAAGGCGACCAUCCGUAGCUGGUUUGAGAGGACGACCAGCCAAACGGUGACUGAGACACGGCCCAGACUCCGCAGGGAGGCAGCAGUGGGGAAUGUUGGACAAUGGGGGAAACCCUGAUCCUGACAUCCCGCGUGUGCGAUGAAGGCCUUCGGGUUGUAAAGCACUUUUGGCAGGAAAGCGGUACCUGCAGAAUAAGCACCGGCUAACUACGUACCAGCAGCCGCGGUAAUUC